UACGGGGGGGGCAAGCGUUGUUCGGAAUUACUGGGCGUAAAGGGCUCGUAGGUGGCCAACUAAGUCAGACGUGAAAUCCCUCGGCUUAACCGGGGAACUGCGUCUGAUACUGGAUGGCUUGAGUUUGGGAGAGGGACGCGGAAUUCCAGGUGUAGCGGUGAAAUGCGUAGAUAUCUGGAGGAACACCGGUGGCGAAGGCGGCAUCCUGGACCAAUUCUGACGCUGAUGAGCGAAAGCCAGGGGAGCAAACGGG
rnacentral:rRNA from 1 species